AACGAACGCUGGCGGCAGGCCUAACACAUGCAAGUCGAGCGGAUGAAGGAAGCUUGCUUCCCGAUUCAGCGGCGGACGGGUGAGUAAUGCCUAGGAAUCUGCCUAUUAGUGGGGGAUAACUCGGGGAAACUCGGGCUAAUACCGCAUACGUCCUACGGGAGAAAGUGGGGGAUCUUCGGACCUCACGCUAAUAGAUGAGCCUAGGUCGGAUUAGCUAGUUGGUGGGGUAACGGCUCACCAAGGCGACGAUCCGUAGCUGGUCUGAGAGGAUGAUCAGCCACACUGGAACUGAGACACGGUCCAGACUCCUACGGGAGGCAGCAGUGGGGAAUUUUGGACAAUGGGCGCAAGCCUGAUUCAGCCAUGCCACGUGCGGGAAGAAGGCCUUCGGGUUGUAAACCGCUUUUGUCGGGGAAGAAAUACGCCGGGCUAACAUCCUGGCGGGAUGACGGUACCCGAAGAAUAAGCACCGGCUAACUACGUGCCAGCCGCCGCCGUAA
rnacentral:rRNA from 1 species